rnacentral:rRNA from 1 species
GUCCACCCCGUAAACGUUGGGAACUAGUUGUGGGGUCCAUUCCACGGAUUCCGUGACGCAGCUAACGCAUUAAGUUCCCCGCCUGGGGAGUACGGCCGCAAGGCUAAAACUCAAAGGAAUUGACGGGGACCCGCACAAGCGGCGGAGCAUGCGGAUUAAUUCGAUGCAACGCGAAGAACCUUACCAAGGCUUGACAUAUACGAGAACGGGCUAGAAAUAGUCAAACUCUUUGGACACUCGUAAACAGGUGGUGCAUGGUUGUCGU